GGGGAGGUUGCUGCUGGGAGAUAAUUUUUAGGUCCAGGAAGCGCUCGGAAGCAGUCAAUAUAGCAGUAAGCAUCUUCCAGCACCCUGUUAUGGAGAGAAGAGUAUUGGGGUUUAUGGUGAGAACUGUAUCGCAUUGUGGAGCACUAACCAGUUUUUACUGCGGAAGACGACAAGCUUCAUUCUGUGUGUGAUGGGCGGUUGGGAACCAUACCCUUCAAUAUGAAAACUUGCCAGCUUCUAAGUGUUCCACACAGAGGUCAGCACCUUCACUGUCUCCAGCUCAAUCUCUAGGUACACCUACCUAUAUAUGCAAAAAUCAAUUGAGUGAAACCACUAGUUUGAUUAUCCAUUAGAUGCAUUCUUGAUCAAACAUUAGAGCAGUAGUACCCGUGUGAUUUACAAUAUGGGUAUUUUUACUGGAUGCUGUAAAAAUAACAGUUUGCUUUUGUUCACGUCAAUGACCAUGAUAACACAUUAAUGGCUAUAAAAGAAAUAAUGAAAUUAGCUGAACAAACGCGAGUUAUCAACAACCUAUGGCAUAACUAGCAAAACCAUCAG